rnacentral:lncRNA from 1 species
UGUGCAUUUAUGUUUAUUUAAUGAAUUAAACAUUAAGGCAAAUAAUUCAUAUUUUAUCAAGGUUUUCAAUAGCAACGCACAUGACCACGAAUGGUCAUGAGUCUUUCAUGAGUCAGCAGUGGUAAAAAUUUGCAAUUAUUGCAAUUCUUCUAGUUGAGCGUAAUUGUACGUAUUAGUUGACUGUUAGUAGUUCAAGUUGACUUUAGUACCAGCUUGUAAAAGUAUGAAUGGACUUGCUUCCCUGGAAAGAAAACUGAGUGUGUUUUACAGUACAAAAGUUAUGAGACACAAAUCAGACAAAUGUUUACUACUACAGGGAUCAAUAGUGAGGUCUGACUGACCUGUUCAUAGUAAAUGUAAAUGACUCCCACCUUCACCCCAAAUCCAUGAUGUCUAAGUUUGGAAUAAAAUGACAGGUGUUAGGGUCUAGCAAAGUGAUAUGCAUAUGUGUCGCCUAUGAGAUUGACCUUGUAUGUCAUUCAAUCUUUUUGAAAUGAAAAACAGGAAUGAAUAUGGUUUAGGCGUUGGUAUCUAAAUCUUUUACAAGUUCUCAAAACACACACAAGAGGUUGUGGGGUGACCAUAGGCACUACCCCUAUUUUUCAUUUGAUUUUUUUAUAUUGUCCCAUACAUGAAUAUAUAUGGUUUAUUGGUGGGGAUCUCGACCGUUAUUAAGUUUUCAAACAGGAGGGGUGGGGGACCCCAGUGACUUCCCCUUUAUUUCAUUUGAUUUGUUAUAUUGUCCAAUAUCUAAUAUAUGGUUGAGGGGUGGGGAUCUCAUCUGUUUCUAAGUAUCAAACAGGAGUGGAUAGAGUGACCCUAUGGACUCUCCCUAUAUUUCAUUUGAUUAGUUCUCAUACAUGAAUAUAUAUGGUUUAAUUUAAAGGUGGGGAUCUCGACUGUUUCCAAUUUCACAAUCAGAUGACUGCAGGGACUCCUAUAUUUCAUUUAAUUUAGAGUUGGGGAUCCCAACUGUUACAAAGUUCUUAAACAUGAGGGGUAGGGUGACCACAGGGACUUCUCCUAUAUUUCAUUUGAUUUGUUAUAUAGUUCAUUUUUGUACAUAAAUAAGGCCGUUAGUUUUCUCGUUUGAAUUGUAUUACAUUGUCUUAUCGGGGCCUUUUAUCGCUGACUAUAUACGGUAUGGGCUUUGCUCAUUGUUGAAGGCCGUACGGUGACCUAUAAUUGUUAAUGUUAGUGUCAUUUUGGUCUUUUGUGUAUAGUUGUCUCAUUGGCAAUCAUACCACAUCUUCUUUUUUAUAUUAUACAUGAGUUCAUAUAGUUAAGGGGUGAUGAUCUCGAAUUUUUCCAAGUUCUCAAACAUGAAGGU